CUGUGUGUUGUUGGGUAGGGGAGCGUUCUGUAAGCCUGUGAAGGUGUGUCGUGAGGCAUGCUGGAGGUAUCAGAAGUGCGAAUGCUGACAUAAGUAACGAUAAAGCGGGUGAAAAGCCCGCUCGCCGGAAGACCAAGGGUUCCUGUCCAACGUUAAUCGGGGCAGGGUGAGUCGACCCCUAAGGCGAGGCCGAAAGGCGUAGUCGAUGGGAAACGGGUUAAUAUUCCCGUACUUGGUGUUACUGCGAAGGGGGGACGGAGAAGGCUAUGUUGGCCGGGCGACGGUUGUCCCGGUUUAAGCGUGUAGGUGUGUGUUCCAGGUAAAUCCGGUUCACUUUAACACUGAGGCGUGACGACGAGGCACUACGGUGCUGAAGCAACAAAUGCCCUGCUUCCAGGAAAAGCCUCUAAGCAUCAGGUAACAUCAAAUCGUACCCCAAACCGACACAGGUGGUCAGGUAGAGAAUACCAAGGCGCUUGAGAGAACUCGGGUGAAGGAACUAGGCAAAAUGGUGCCGUAACUUCGGGAGAAGGCACGCUGACACGUAGGUGAAGUGAUUUACUCAUGGAGCUGAAGUCAGUCGAAGAUACCAGCUGGCUGCAACUGUUUAUUAAAAACACAGCACUGUGCAAACACGAAAGUGGACGUAUACGGUGUGACGCCUGCCCGGUGCCGGAAGGUUAAUUGAUGGGGUCAGCGCAAGCGAAGCUCCUGAUCGAAGCCCCGGUAAACGGCGGCCGUAACUAUAACGGUCCUAAGGUAGCGAAAUUCCUUGUCGGGUAAGUUCCGACCUGCACGAAUGGCGUAAUGAUGGCCAGGCUGUCUCCACCCGAGACUCAGUGAAAUUGAACUCGCUGUGAAGAUGCAGUGUACCCGCGGCAAGACGGAAAGACCCCGUGAACCUUUACUAUAGCUUGACACUGAACAUUGAGCCUUGAUGUGUAGGAUAGGUGGGAGGCUUUGAAGUGUGGACGCCAGUCUGCAUGGAGCCGACCUUGAAAUACCACCCUUUAAUGUUUGAUGUUCUAACGUGGACCCGUUACCCGGGUUGCGGACAGUGUCUGGUGGGUAGUUUGACUGGGGCGGUCUCCUCCUAAAGAGUAACGGAGGAGCACGAAGGUUGGCUAAUCCUGGUCGGACAUCAGGAGGUUAGUGCAAUGGCAUAAGCCAGCUUGACUGCGAGCGUGACGGCGCGAGCAGGUGCGAAAGCAGGUCAUAGUGAUCCGGUGGUUCUGAAUGGAAGGGCCAUCGCUCAACGGAUAAAAGGUACUCCGGGGAUAACAGGCUGAUACCGCCCAAGAGUUCAUAUCGACGGCGGUGUUUGGCACCUCGAUGUCGGCUCAUCACAUCCUGGGGCUGAAGUAGGUCCCAAGGGUAUGGCUGUUCGCCAUUUAAAGUGGUACGCGAGCUGGGUUUAGAACGUCGUGAGACAGUUCGGUCCCUAUCUGCCGUGGGCGCUGGAGAACUGAGGGGGGCUGCUCCUAGUACGAGAGGACCGGAGUGGACGCAUCACUGGUGUUCGGGUUGUCAUGCCAAUGGCACUGCCCGGUAGCUAAAUGCGGAAGAGAUAAGUGCUGAAAGCAUCUAAGCACGAAACUUGCCCCGAG
rnacentral:rRNA from 4 species